GUCCACGCCGUAAACGAUGGGUGCUAGGUGUGGGGUGUCGACUCCCUCCGUGCCGAAGCUAACGCAUUAAGCACCCCGCCUGGGGAGUACGGCCGCAAGGCUAAAACUCAAAGGAAUUGACGGGGCCCGCACAAGCAGCGGAGCAUGUGGUUUAAUUCGACGCAACGCGAAGAACCUUACCAAGGCUUGACAUGCACUGGAAAAACGUAGAAAUACGUUCCCUCUUCGGAGUCAGUGCACAGGUGGUGCAUGGCUGUCGU
rnacentral:rRNA from 1 species